AGAUAGAGAACCCUUAGGAAGGCGAUGCUGGAUCCUAUGGGUCUCAACAGAGGGCCUUACGGGGCCACUGUAACAACCAACCACGAAUGGGAGGCUCAACACAACUGAAACGCGCGUCCUCACAGCCCUGGAGGCCCGAACUCCAAAUCCAAGGCGCCAGCAGGGCCACGCUUCCUCCACGGAGCCUCGGGGAGCAGACGGUCUUGAGACGAGACUUGCUCCCGCAACCCUUUCCCAGCUGCAGCUGCCUCUCCGCCAUCUCUGCCUCCGUGGCCACGCGGCAUCUUCUCCCUGGCAUGGGCUGAACCACCGCAUCUCGGGCAGGGAAGAAAAAAAUGCUGGCAACUAAACCAUGAGGUCCCUUCAAGAGUAAAAUGGAACCUAAGAGGAAGACGGAACCUAACAGAGAUGUCGGGAGGAGAAGCAGCAUGCAUCUUAGAAUUGAUAAACACGAUA
rnacentral:lncRNA from 1 species